GAAGUGAAUAAAAUAGCUUUGGUGAAGCGAACCCGGGGAACUGAAACAUCUCAGUACCCGGAGGAAAGGACAUCAACAGAGACUCCCGUAGUAGUGGCGAGCGAACCGGGACCAGGCCAAUGCCUUUGAUUCAACUAGCAGAAGCUUCUGGAAAGGAGCGCCAUAGUGGGUGACAGCCCCGUAUGCGAAAGUGAUGUCAAAGGAUUUGAGUAGGGCGGGACACGUGAAAUCCUGUCUGAACAUGGGGGGACCACCCUCCAAGCCUAAGUACUCCUCAGCGACCGAUAGUGAACCAGUACCGUGAGGGAAAGGCGAAAAGAACCCCGGGAGGGGAGUGAAAUAGAUCCUGAAACCGCGUGCUUACAAAAAGUAGGAGCCUCGUAAGGGGUGACUGCGUACCUUUUGUAUAAUGGGUCAGCGACUUAAUCUGACGAGCAAGCUUAAGCCGGUAGGUGUAGGCGCAGCGAAAGCGAGUCUGAACAGGGCGUUCAGUUCGUCGCAUUAGACCCGAAACCGAGUGAUCUAGCCAUGAGCAGGUUGAAGGUAAGGUAACACUUACUGGAGGACCGAACCCAUAACUGUUGCAAUAGUUCGGGAUGACUUGUGGCUAGGGGUGAAAGGCCAAUCAAACU
rnacentral:rRNA from 1 species